rnacentral:lncRNA from 1 species
CAGCAAAAGUGGUUCAAAAAUCUGCUGCAGGGUAGAUCCAAUAACUCUCCUUUCUCCUUUUCAGUCACCCACCCUGUUUGGGCUCCGAAGUACAUCAUAGGACCUACAGCUGCUCUUGUCCUAUUGCUGCUACUGGGGCUGGUCGGUGUUAUGGCUUGGAGAGGCAGAGCAAACGCCAGGGAAUGAGCAGCAAUGCGCACCAGCCGGGCCCGGGGGAGACCCUGAUGUCUGGAUGCAUCUAUGAGAAGAACACCCAGGACUAUGGCCUGGGGCAGCCAGCCCAUGUUAGAUACACGCCUCCUCCUGGGGGAUAGCGCGACCACCAAGCUGUGCCCGGGCUCUCCGGCUGGCAUCGGGCAAUCCCACACCUACAGCCAGACAAUGAACAUGGGCAAAGUACUGCAGGAACUCCAAGGACGGACCCAGGAUAUUUACAGCCAGUUGGACUCUCCCCAAGCUGGUUUCCACUGAGCUCUGCUGAAAUCCCAACCAGCUGGGACCCCCGCUGCAUGGCCGGGACCUUAAACACAAAGAGAAGCCAUCACUCAACAGGGCCAGAUCCCAGCAGGGAUCCACAAGCAUCGAUUUUCCAUUGUGCUGGGGGUGCUUGACCCCUGGCACUUCCCCAGGCCCCACCCCCACUCCACCCCUUCCCUCAAGGCCACACCCCUGUCCUGUCUCUCCCCUACCCCUGUCCCACCUGUUCCCACCCCUGAGCACACUGCAUCCUCGCUCCUCACCGCUUCCCCCACAAAACAGCUGAUUGCAGCAAGUGGGAGGCGCGAGGAGCGGGAAGCAUUGAUGGGGAGCUGCCGGUGAGUGCUCAGCACCCACCAUUUUUUUCCAGUGGGUGCUCCUGCCCCAGACCACCCGUGGAGUUGGUGCCUAUGUGGGAUAAAGCGGCAGUGUCUCCAUUGGAAUGAAUGGGGUCAGACCCCCAGCUGGGGUGACUCAGUUGAGAAUAAAUAGCUCCGAAAUGCAGCCA